rnacentral:rRNA from 1 species
AACGAACGCUGGCGGCGUGGAUAAGACAUGCAAGUCGAACGGGGCAUUUUGGUAGCAAUGUUGAAAUGUUCAGUGGCGAACGGGUGCGUAACACGUGGAUACCUUCCGGAAAGUGAGAAAUAGCCCAGGAAACUUGGAUUAAUAUCUCAUGUGAUCGCAAGAUCAAAGGCGCAAGCCGCUUUCUGAUGGGUCUGCGGCCUAUCAGCUUGUUGGUGAGGUAAAGGCUCACCAAGGCGACGACGGGUAGCUGGUCUGAGAGGACGAUCAGCCACACUGGAACUGAGACACGGUCCAGACACCUACGGGUGGCAGCAGUCGAGAAUCUUUCACAAUGGGCGAAAGCUUGAAGGAGCGACGCCGCGUGGAGGUUAAGGUCUUCGGAUUGUAAACUCCUGUCAUGCGAGAACAAAGCCCGCGAGGGUGUGAUAGUAUCGCAAGAGGAAGAGACAGCUAACUCUGUGCCAGCCGCCGCAGUAA